rnacentral:rRNA from 1 species
AGUGAACGCUGGCGGCGUGCCUAAUACAUGCAAGUCGAACGGAGUGGCGCACGGGUGAGUAAUGUAUAGCUAAUCUGCCCUACACUAGAGGACAACAGUUGGAAACGGCUGCUAAUACUCUAUAGUGUAGGAUGAGGCUAUAUUGUAUCAGCUAGUUGGUGAGGUAAUGGCUCACCAAGGCUAUGACGCAUAACUGGUCUGAGGGGGUGAUCCGUCAAACGGGAACUGCGACACGGUCCAGACGCCUACGGGAGGCAGCAGUAGGGAAUAUGGCUCAAUGGGGUAAACCCUGAAGCAGCAACGCCGCGUGGGGGAUGACACGUUUCGGAGCGUAAACUCCUUUUGUUAGGGAAGCGGUACCUAACGAAUAAGCACCGGCUAACUCCGUGCCAGCCGCCGCGGUAAUUC